rnacentral:rRNA from 1 species
AGCGGAGGAAAAGAAAAUAACAAUGAUUUCCCUAGUAACGGCGAGUGAAGAGGAAAGAGCUCAAAGUUGGAAACUGUUUGGCUUAGCUAAACCGUAUUGUAAACUGUAGAAACAUUUUCCUGGCACACCAGAUUAAUAAGUCCUUUGGAACAAGGCAUCAUGGAGGGUGAGAAUCCCGUCUUUGAUCUGAGUAGUUGUCUUUUGUGAUAUGUUUUCAAAGAGUCAGGUUGUUUGGGAAUGCAGCCUAAAUUGGGUGGUAAAUCUCACCUAAAGCUAAAUAUUUGCGAGAGACCGAUAGCGAACAAGUACCGUGAGGGAAAGAUGAAAAGAACUUUGAAAAGAGAGUUAAACAGUAUGUGAAAUUGUUAAAAGGGAACCGUUUGGAGCCAGACUGGUUUGCUUGUAAUCAACCUAGAAUUCGUUUUGGGUGCACUUGCAGGCUAUACCUGCCAACAACAGUUUGAUUUGGAGGAAAAAAUUAAUAGGAAUGUAGCCUCUCGAGGUGUUAUAGCCUAUUAUCAUACUCUGGAUUGGACUGAGGAACGCAGCGAAUGCCUUUAGGCAAGAUUGCUGGGUGCUUUCGCUAAUAAAUGUUAGAAUUUCUGCUUCGGGUGGUGCUAAUGUUUAAAGGAGGAACACAUCUAGUAUAUUUUUUAUUCGCUUAGGUUGUUGGCUUAAUGACUCUAAAUGACCCGUCUU